rnacentral:rRNA from 1 species
ACGAGCGCUGGCGGCAUGCCUAACACAUGCAAGUCGAACGAGACCUUCGGGUCUAGUGGCGCACGGGUGCGUAACGCGUGGGAACCUGCCCUUAGGUUCGGAAUAACUCCCCGAAAGGGGUGCUAAUACCGGAUAAUGUCUUCGGACCAAAGAUUUAUCGCCUUUGGAUGGGCCCGCGUUGGAUUAGCUAGUUGGUAGGGUAAAAGCCUACCAAGGCGACGAUCCAUAGCUGGUCUGAGAGGAUGAUCAGCCACACUGGGACUGAGACACGGCCCAGACUCCUACGGGAGGCAGCAGUGGGGAAUAUUGGACAAUGGGCGAAAGCCUGAUCCAGCAAUGCCGCGUGAGUGAUGAAGGCAUUAGGGUUGUAAAGCUCUUUUACCCGGGAUGAUAAUGACAGUACCGGGAGAAUAAGCUCCGGCUAACUCCGUG